rnacentral:rRNA from 1 species
GUGUCAGCAGCCGCGGUAAUACAGAGGGUGCAAGCGUUAAUCGGAGUUACUGGGCGUAAAGGGCGCGUAGGUGGUUUUGUAAGUGAGAUGUGAAAGCCCUGGGCUUAACCUAGGAAUUGCAUCUUAUACUGUGAGACUAGAGUACUGUAGAGGGUAGUGGAAUUUCCGGUGUAGCGGUGAAAUGCGUAGAGAUCGGAAGGAACACCAGUGGCGAAGGCGGCUACCUGGACAGAUACUGACACUGAGGCGCGAGAGCGUGGGGAGCAAACAGGAUUAGAAACCCUUGUAGUCC